rnacentral:rRNA from 1 species
UCCGUAGGUGAACCUGCGGAAGGAUCAUUACCGAACCAAGGAUGUGCUGGCCUUAAACAAGCAUUGUGCACUCCCGAUCUCAACACUAACACACCUGUGAACCUCGGACCGACGCUCUUAACUGAGUGUUGUGUUCCAUUUAUUACAAAAACCUUUGAGCCAAUGUCUGGAACGUAAAACUUAAUGUAAAUACAACCAUCAGCAACGGAUCUCUUGGCAUUCCAAUCGAUGAAGAACGUAGCGAAUUGCGAUAAGUAAUGUGAAUUGCAGAAUUCAGUGAAUCAUCGAGUCUUUGAACGCACCUUGCACCCUCUGGUAUUCCGGAGGGUAUGCCCGGUUGAGUGUCUUGAAUAUCUCAAUUCCAAUGCUUUGUUAUAAGGGCCUUUCUUGAAACCUUCCUUGUCUAGCGAGACAUCGGGUUGGAAUCGGUCAGGUCUGAAGUGUUGGAACUUGGACUUGAGCCCCGUCGGCCCUCGCGUCGACUGGCUUGAAAUGCAUUAGCGAUGUCUUACCAAGGUGUCCUCAUCGGCGUGAUAAGUAUUGAUCGUCAUGAAAGGUGCCACCGGUCUGUCGCUCCUAGCCGUCUUCGGACAAUUACUGACAUUUACACCUCAACUCGGGUAGGACUACCCGCUGAACUUAAGCAUAUCAAUAAGCGGAGGA